rnacentral:rRNA from 1 species
CAGUAGCCGCGGGAAUACGGAGGGUGCAAGCGUUAAUCGGAAUUACUGGGCGUAAAGCGCACGCAGGCGGUCUGACAAGUCAGAUGUGAAAUCCCCGGGCUCAACCUGGGAACUGCAUUUGAAACUGUCAGGCUGGAGUCUUGUAGAGGGGGGUGGAAUUCCAGGUGUAGCGGUGAAAUGCGUAGAGAUCUGGAGGAAUACCGGUGGCGAAGGCGGCCCCCUGGACAAAGACUGACGCUCAGGUGCGAAAGCGUGGGGAGCAAACAGGAUUAGAUACCCCGGUAGUCCCUGUCUCUUAUAC